CAGUCGCCGCGGGAAAACCAGCACCUCGAGUGGUCAGGAGGUUUAUUGGGCCUAAAGCAUCCGUAGCCGGUUGCAUAAGUUUUCAGUUAAAUCUAUGCGCUUAACGUAUAGGCCGCCGAAAAUACUGUGCAGCUAGGGAGUGGGAGAGGUACACGGUACUCGAUAGGAAGGGGUAAAAUCCUUUGAUCUAUCGAUGACCACCUGUGGCGAAGGCGGUGUACCAGAACACGUUCGACGGUGAGGGAUGAAAGCUGGGGGAGCAAACCGGAUUAGAUACCCCUGUAGUCCCUGUCUCUUAUAC
rnacentral:rRNA from 1 species